rnacentral:lncRNA from 1 species
UUACAUUAUGUCAUUUAUAUUAUGUCUAUAACUGCUAUAACUGCUAUGUAUGUUUUAACUGCUUACAACUAAACUAACCCAAUGAACAUUGUACGUAUAAUUAUGAAUAUAUCAAUGAAGGGGAAUCUUUUACUUAUUCCGUUGUGCUUGAAAAGAUUCUUAUGUUUGUCAUAUACUCUAAUAUGAACAAUACAUCAUAAACCAGAAAAGUAUUUGAAAUAAAAAGGAUCUAUUC